GAUGAAGAACGCAGCGAAGUGCGAUAAGUAGUGUGAAUUGCAGAAUUUCGUGAAUCAUCGAAUCUUUGAACGCAAAUUGCACUCUCCGGUUUUCCGGGAGAGUAUGCCUGUUUGAGGGUCAGCCUAAAUAAAUUCGGCUUCGUUGCUGUUGUUUUCGCGGUAACGUUUUUAGUCGGGAUUUGGGUCAUCUUAAACCGAAAGGUUUUUAAGCGACUUAAAAUUUUUUUACGAUCCCACGAACGUUUCUAAGUACUUCUUACACGUUCAAGGUAUCGAAAACCCCUAUUAGGCGUGGCCGCCGUAUCGGAUCGCGUCCAUAAUAUUUAUUCUUUAACUGACCUCAGACAGGUAAGAAUACCCGCUGAACUUAAGCAUAUCAAUAAGCGGAGGA
rnacentral:misc_RNA from 1 species